GCUUCUUCCUCAACCGCGCCUAUGAUUUGCUUGCUUCCACUUCUCAGGGUGACUUCCUGUGAAGACCUGUCAUCGGCUUGGAGUUCAGAUGUCCAGGUCCUCCGAGGGGCAGCAUGUGCGUGGAAAACAAGCGUCGGUGUUGCCUGGGGUGCGCCUUGUGCUGGUGGAUAGCACAGGAUGGAAGUUUCAAACUUGAAAGUGUGUCAAGGAAAUACGCGCUUCACAUCCUGAGCCCCUUCUCUGAGGCGUAGUGGACUUUGGUUAUAUUGCUGGAGGUCUGCUUCCAGCCUGAGCAGCCACUCCCAAUCCCAGUGGACGUGCAGCGAAGAAGGCUUCAGUUGGGGAUGGCUUUGUGUCCCCUAGCUGUGAAUCCGUUGAAGGCUGUACUUCGUCUUUGUACUUGGAAUGAUCGCCUGCUUGAGCUGUCUUGAGGAAUUGGCCUUCCUUCCGUGGGGGAGUUGCAGUGGUUUGCCGGCCGCCUGCCGGGAUGGCAGAUGUCCAUUUCUUCGGAGGGUCAGAGCUUCUGCAGAUCCUGGAAUCAUUGUGUCCUGCUGUGCUCCCCGUCCUGGUGGAUGUCUCCAAAUGCUUGGAGAGUGGAGUCCUGGAGCUCGGUGAUGCGUCCCUGGCUUGUGCGGGGUGCUGGUGGCAUUUCAGGUCAUCCCGUUGCCCACUGCCCAUCAGUCAUCCUGGGGCGUUCCGUUUUCAGGGUUUGGGCAUGUGCUUGGAUCGAUGAUGAGUUUCUCAUAUAAACAUUCCUUGGAAAGCUGAACAAAAUGAGUGAAAACUCACAACCGUCGUUCUCAUCGGUACUGAGGUCCAGCACUUUGCCACUACCACGGCCUGCUGAGUGAUCUUCAAGUUGAACGGGUCCCCAUUCCUCCUAUCUUCCAGGGCACCAGCUUGGAAAGUGUCGCAGGAUACUUGCGUUAGACAAAUUUCCUCAGCCCAGUGGACGUACCUGGGUGUGUUGCUAGUUGAUCGGCCUCCCUUUGAGGCAUGACUUCUAUCAGAUGAGGCGUCAGUGUCGUAGACGUGAGGGAGAGUGUUUGUUGCCUGCGUAGGGUAUCCUUUCAGGAGGAAGAGUGUUUCCCUUGGAGUCAGGGAGACUUAGGUUCUCUCGGCCGCUGUUUUCAAGGAGCAGGAGAGUUCUUGGUUUUUCCACCAAAGCCUAAAAUGGGAGGCCUUAGACACACGUUGGGCAUGAAUUUCUGUUGGCAGUUGGAAUAGAGGGAGGUGUUUGAGGUAAUGGAGAAGGAAGACCAAUGGGUGAUGUUUUGCUGAAUGCUAUCUAAUAGCCCUCCAAUCAGCAACCAGUCACUAGGAAUCCCUACCUUGGCAUGUUUACAAGUAAGAGAGAGUCCAUGUUGUGAAAGCUGAUGAAUUGGGCCUAAUU